rnacentral:tRNA from 1 species
GGUUUGUGGCUCAGUGGAAGAGUGCUCGCCUAGCAUUCAUGAGGCACUGAGUUCGAUCCUCAGAACCA